rnacentral:tRNA from 1 species
GCGAAUAUAGCUCAGUGGUAGAGCAUUCGACUGCAGAUCGAGCGGUCCACGGUUCAAACCCGGGUGUUCCCA